UUUUGACUCUUCGUCUUAUUUGAAAUAUUUUUGCGAUUAAUAAUUUUAUUAUUACUAGAUGAUAAAAUAUAAAUAAUACUUUAUGCGUGAAUAAUUUUUUAAGUUUCAGUGCAAAUUUUUAAAUAAGACAAACAGUCAAAG
rnacentral:pre_miRNA from 1 species